UACGGGGGGGGGCAAGCGUUGUUCGGAAUUACUGGGCGUAAAGGGCGCGUAGGCGGCCACCGCAAGUCGAUUGUGAAAUCUCCGGGCUUAACCCGGAGCGGUCAAGUGAUACUGUCGUGCUAGAGUGCGGAAGGGGCAACUGGAAUUCUCGGUGUAGCGGUGAAAUGCGUAGAUAUCGAGAGGAACACCUGCGGCGAAGGCGGGUUGCUGGGCCGACACUGACGCUGAGGAGCGAAAGUGUGGGGAGCGAACAGG
rnacentral:rRNA from 1 species